GCCGGCAGCCGGCAGGGCUGCGUUCGAAAACAUCAUCCGAGUGUACUCAGAUACUUUCAUCGUAAAAAAAAGAAAGAUAGCGAGUGCGUAUUAGUAGAAUUUAUUAACGAGGAUUAUAAAGUCGCAGUAGGCUACUGAUCGUGGCUUCAAAAU